UACGUAGGGUGCGAGCGUUGUCCGGAAUUAUUGGGCGUAAAGAGCUCGUAGGCGGUGUGUCACGUCGGCCGUGAAAACCUGGGGCUUAACUCUGGGCGUGCGGUCGAUACGGGCAUCACUAGAGUUCGGCAGGGGAGACUGGAAUUCCUGGUGUAGCGGUGAAAUGCGCAGAUAUCAGGAGGAACACCGGUGGCGAAGGCGGGUCUCUGGGCCGAUACUGACGCUGGAGGA
rnacentral:rRNA from 1 species